rnacentral:lncRNA from 1 species
UUAGGACAGGUGGGAUAAAUAACAAAACGGAUACACAAGGGUUUUUGGGCUCGACAUUCAUGCUAUUUUUCUUGUACGUAUGCUUAUUUUGAUAUAAAGGGGUUCGACAUCGACUAUUUAACUUUACUUAACUGAUUGAGUAUUUCAAAUGUAAUCAAGUCGUUUAAUUGGGACAAGUGCGUUUUUAUGAGUUCUAUUUUUCUUUUCUCUUUUUUUUGCGGAGCAUUCAAAAAGCCUCCAAUUUAUUUU